UACGUAGGGACCGAGCGUUGUCCGGAUUCAUUGGGCGUAAAGAGCUCGUAGGCGGCCGCUCAAGUCGAAUGUGAAACCUCGAGGCUCAACCUCGAGCCUGCAUUCGAUACUGGGCGGCUAGAGUCUGGUAGGGGGAUCUGGAAUUCCUGGUGUAGCGGUGGAAUGCGUAGAUAUCGAGAGGAACACCUGCGGCGAAGGCGGGUAGCUGGGCCGACACUGACGCUGAGGCGCGAAAGCCAGGGGAGCGAACGGG
rnacentral:rRNA from 1 species